rnacentral:rRNA from 1 species
UACGGAGGGUGCAAGCGUUAAUCGGAAUUACUGGGCGUAAAGCGCGCGUAGGCGGCUACAUAAGUUGGAAGUGAAAGCCCCGGGCUCAACCUGGGAACUGCUUUCAAAACUGUGUGGCUUGAGUACAGCAGAGGAUAGUGGAAUUUCUAGUGUAGCGGUGAAAUGCGUAGAGAUUGGAAGGAACAUCAGUGGCGAAGGCG